AGUUGCCGGGGAGGAGGGCCAGCCGCCGGCAAGGGGGCGCCGAGCUGCUGGUGCGGGCGGGAGUCGGGGCUGCUCCUCCGCGCGGGCCCGCCGGCCCCUCCCCACAAGCCAGCCCCACAGCUGCCGCCCGGGUAGCUUCCCGCAGACGCCGUAGGUAGCACGCGAUGGAACGCGGCGGAGGGGAGCGUGGACACGGCUGCCGGGCGCUGCGGCCAUCGGCGCCCUGGACGCCCGCUCCGGCCUUCGGGGCCGGAUAUCCCCACUCUCGCGGGCUCUUUCGCGUGGACCCCUCCUCCGGCCGACACUCACACUGCGGUGAACGCCAGUCAGCUGGCGUGAAAUAAGGUCGCUGGGAAGGCACCAAGUCACCAAGGCCACCAAGCCUAUUUGAGAUGGAGGGUACUGGGGGAGACGUCAUAAGUGAGCAG
rnacentral:lncRNA from 1 species